rnacentral:rRNA from 1 species
CAAUAGCGUAUAUUAAAGUUGUUGCGGUUAAAAAGCUCGUAGUUGGAUUUCUGCCGAGGACGACCGGUCCGCCCUCUGGGUGUGUAUCUGGUUUGGCCUGGGCAUCUUCUUGGAGAACGUAGCUGCACUUGACUGUGUGGUGCGGUGUCCAGGACUUUUACUUUGAGGGAAUUAGAGUGUUUCAAGCAGGCACACGCCUUGAAUACAUUAGCAUGGAAUAAUAAGAUAGGACCUCGGUUCUAUUUUGUUGGUUUCUAGAGCUGAGGUAAUGAUUAAUAGGGAUAGUUGGGGGCAUUCGUAUUUAACUGUCAGAGGUGAAAUUCUUGGAUUUGUUAAAGACGGACUACUGCGAAGGCAUUUGCCAAGGAUGUUUUCAUUGA